AGAAAUUUAGGGUAAUGUCAGCCCGAAGGCCUUCAAAGCCUCAAGCAAGAGUUUAAUUCUCUUAAUUUCUG
rnacentral:tRNA from 1 species